rnacentral:rRNA from 1 species
AGCAGUCGCCGCGGUAAUACGAAGGGUGCAAGCGUUACUCGGAAUUACUGGGCGUAAAGCGUGCGUAGGUGGUGGUUUAAGUCCGUUGUGAAAGCCCUGGGCUCAACCUGGGAAUUGCAGUGGAUACUGGGUCACUAGAGUGUGGUAGAGGAUAGUGGAAUUUCCGGUGUAGCAGUGAAAUGCGUAGAGAUCGGAAGGAACAUCUGUGGCGAAGGCGACUAUCUGGGCCAACACUGACACUGAGGCACGAAAGCGUGGGGAGCAAACAGGAUUAGAUACCCGGGUAGUCCCUGUCUCUUAUAC